CCGCACUCAAAAAAUAUCAGGUGGCAUCGAGCUCAAACCCAAUCAACUCGGGUUUUUAACCGUUGACUCGGGUUCGGGUGGCCCCGCGAUUUUGGUAUGCUUGCCAUCCGAGAGGACAAAAUUGUAAUUACACAUACUUUCAACUAAUCAUCUUCUACCACCAUGUUGCCUUCUCCACAGCCAAAAUCGCCGCCGCCACCGGCAAUACUGAUAUGCCUCGUUCCGCCGCAAACGGCGUUCCAAACUAGCUGUUGUGCAAAAUCAUAAUCCAACCACCCUCGUGGUUAAACUUAAAUGAUGCUCACCAGUCUUCUCUCCAUCACACUAUCGUCUCUCCCCCCCAAUUGAAGUACAUGCCCCAAUACAUGGAAGAUUCUUCAAAGAUCUGAGUAGUAACUGUUACGGCCAGUGUAUUAUUUUGUGAUCCAUUUUGCAAACAGGACUACAUGCCUACUGUCUUUGACGAUUUCAAAGCAAAUGCGGCUGCCAUGGGAGCAAUGACAAAAUGACAACCCUGGCUUGUCAAUAUUGCUGUACACCCCCCCAAGCAACAAGGCAACAGCGAAUGUGAAGAAGAAUCUCAUGAAAUUGUAAUAUGGAUUGCGCCAGUAAGACCAAUGUUGUUUCCAUAAGCAAGCCAUACAUUGAACGAAAAAGGACCUCGAGUACUUCGAAGGAAAUUCAAGGUCCUUUGAACUAGGAGAUGGAGUGCUCAAUUCUUCAAUAAGAGCUUUGUUUCUCCUGCAACAAAUAUCACCUCUUGCAUCUAACCCAGAAGUUGGCUCAUCCAUGAAUAUGAUAGAAGGAUUAGCAACCAACUCAACUGCAAUAGUCAACCUUUUUCGCUGCUCAGUUGAGAGACCGGUUAUACCAGGGAGACCAACAUAUGCAUCCCUUAUUGAGUUCAGCUCCACUAGCUCCAUGACUUCCUCAACAAACAUCUGCAAUCGGAGCCAUGCUGAAUAGAGCAAGGAUUCAUAGACAGUAAUAUGAGGAGAGUGUAUAUCAUUUUGCUCACAAUAUCCCGAAAUUCUUGCAAAGGUGUCUUGCUUUUUGGGAUACCCGGAAACUGUGAUGUUUCCAGUAAUAUAGCCCCCGGUUUUUCUACCAGCAAGUACAUCCAUCAAAGUUGUUUUUCCAGCACCAGUGACACCCAUAAGUGCAGUGAGAACGCCUGGCCUAAAAGCUCCGCUGACACGGUUCAGAAGAACCAACUUAUCUUCUGUGACACCCUGACUCCUCAUUGCCUUCAAGUUUAGAACAAAGAUUUAAUGAAACUGAUUUAAAAAUUAAGAACCGAGAGCGGAAUGCAAAUUUUUUUUCGUUUAAGUAAAUAUUACCGGAGGCAUGUCUACAGAAUAUGAGACGUCAUCAAAGGACUGUAACCGAUGACGUAAUAGGUAAGAAAUGUCCAAGCUGCUGCUUCAGCAAAUGUUAUCGGGAUUUUCAGGAUCCAUGUAGGAAGAGCAUAUGCCCAAGAAGGGUAGAAGAGAAGGUCCCUUUGCUUGUAAAACACUGGAAGCCUCGCAAUCGUCGUCGCAAGAUCAGCAAACCCAUUAAACAUGACCACCAAAUUUCCGAAGAACAAUGCACCGGCAUAAAUGCCCCCAUCAAUCACUGAAUUGUGGUGCAUUCCAGUUCGGAGAAAAACGGUCAUGGUAGCAGUAGCCAUCACAGAAAUCUUAAAAGGAGGAUAAAUGCAUCAGUGAUGGAGUAACAGGUACAUAGUUUAUACAUAAAAUGAGAAAUUAUAAUGUUCUAAUUGUUUAAACCUACUUGGCAAAGUUUGAAUUUAUAGUAAAAUGCAUUGCGCCUCAUAAGUAAAUAUUCUCUUGCUAAGCAAGCUUUGAAUAAUUCCCACUUUCCAAUUCCAUACGUGUUGGUCGUCAAAGCAGCUGGGUGGCUUUGAGACUUGUCAAAUGGAGUAACAAGUUCAUUGCCAAGAGUUCUCCCAACAUGAAAUGACUCAAAUAUCUCAGCAAACUCCUUAGGUGUCACAAAUUUAUAAGGCUUCCUUCUUUCUACCCAAUAUUGCUCCUGAUCUUUCAUUGAUGUCACCUACAACAGUAUGCGCAAAAUUAAACUGUAAAAACUCACUCCUAUCCGUAUAGACUGUAGAAAGAAGAUAAGGAUACACUUACUUCUUGUAAAAAGUCUGCCACAGAUUUUCUCUCGGGACACUUAAAACCUAAUGAACCAAAAAAUUCUAGCACAUGUUCACAAGGACCCUGGUACACAAUGUGUCCCUCAGAGAGUAGAAUAAUGUCGUCAAAAAGAUCAUAAGUCUCUGGUGGUGGCUGCAACAGUGAGAUCACAGCGGUUCCGUUGAGAAGUUGGACCGACUGCUUCACUGAUUUCACAACUUGAUAGGUUGUUGAGCUAUCCAAACCGGUUGAUAUUUCAUCCAUGAAAAGAGCCUUAGCUGUUCCUACUAGCAUCUCCCCUGUAUUAAUAGAUUCAUAACGUUUUCUCAUUGCCACUAUAUUAUGGUGAAUCAUGAUGUUAUUCAUCAAUAUCAAAAUCAAGUAUGUUUUACCUGUUGUAACCCGUUUCCUUUGUCCACCAGAGACGCCUCUUAACAUUGGACCUCCCACCACUGUAUCUGCACAACUCUCUAGUCCCAAAAGCUGAAAAUAUAAAGCAAAUAAAACUAAAUUAGUUGCUACCCUAUGAGGAUCAAAGAAGGCUUUGUGUGUAUGAAUUUUUACCUUUAAAGUAUAAUCUACUGCAAGAUUUUCUUUCCCGCCCUCAGUUGCAACAGCCUAAACAUAUUUCCAAGUCACAAGUUCAUUAGCUAUUAUAUUCAUAAUUGAAAAUAGGAAAGAAAAAGAUGGUGCGUGCGUCGUCUCCUACCUUCAUAUAGAUAUCUAUAUCUGGAUCAGGGAAGAUGUUUCUCUCAAUUUCUCUUCUAGAUAAUUCUUCUAGCAUAUCUGCAUUUUACCAAAGAUAUUCCUUUUCAACUUAGAAUCAUGUUUUCAAAUUUCAAAUGUUUUGAAAUUGCAUCGAGAUGAAACAUUUAGAAAAAAAUGCAAUGUCAUGUACUAACCUAUUCUAGAUCCAACACCUUGGAAUCUUGCUGAGAAGGCUAAAGUUUCUCUAACUGUCAACUCUCCAAUGUGAAGAUCGUUUUGACUGACAUAAGCAGCAGUUCUUUGAGUAACCUUUAGAUUGGGAUCAAGUUUUCCAGCCAAGGCCAAAAGGAGUGUCGUUUUUCCAGAACUUGGAGGGCCCAAAAGCAAUGUCAUCCUGGAGAUAUAUAGGUUUGGCGACGGGGAAUACUUUCAACAAUGCAUGCAAGCGUUUUAUCGGUCAAGGGUGCCUCGUUAUCAAUGCAACCGUCUAGCCCUGCACUGAAAAAUUCUUCCCGUUGUACUUCUGUAAGGAAACGCGUCACGCCAACAAUCGUUGUAGGGUACUCCAUGUCUCGCAGCAUCUUCGUCAUCUGCAUAAAGCGCGUGAAUGAAUCUCAUUAUCAGUAUAUAUUAUGCUUAGGCCACAAGAAAUUAAUAUAUAGAGACAAAUGUAGUUACCUGAACCCCAUCAAUGACAGGUAAAUACCUACCAAGGAGAAUUAAGUCAUAGACUUCCUCAACACAAAUUAUUUUUAUAGCUUCUUGGCCAGUUUUCACUGAACGAGUUUCCACACCAAGUUUAUUCAACAUAACUUCAUGAACCUUUCCAAUGCAGUCAUCAUGGUGCACAACAAGUGCUCUUAUUAUUCUUCGAUGGGGGCUUGGUGAAAGAUCAUCAUCUUCACUAUCUUCACUAUCAGAUAACAUUAUUUGUUUACCUUUAUGAUCACUUAUACUGACCAUCUUUCUAUACAAUUGAUGAUAUAUCAAUUCAAUUAAUUAUACCACUUGGAUCUGUUACAUAUAUAAAAAGAAAAUCAUUAUUUUCUUUUCUAUACAAGAAAGAUAUAUAAUUUGAAAUAGCACAAUUUCACAACAUAUUGAAAUAGAGCUAACCUUGCUCAAUGUGAGACUGAGAAUUUGGUUUCUUUCUUCUUCUCCCUGACAAUUCUCACACUCUAAAAGAGGGAUUAAUGGAUGGCUGUAUGAAGAAAUAAAAGAAAGUGAGUUAUUCAUGAUAAAGAUGGUUCACUGCUAAAGCUAUAUACAUAAUUAGAAGAACUCAAGAUGAUGAAUUAGUUUGCAGUAGCACUUGCCUUGUGGAGAAGUCUUGAUUCUGUGGGAGUGAGUGAGUGGAGAAACAAAGUAAAUGUGUGUUAAAUGGAUAUGAAUGCUGAGAAUGUAAUUGUAAGAAUUUUUAAGUCAUGCUAUCUAAAUAUAUAUGAAUGAAUAUGAAAGGAAGCAAAAAAAAAAGUUAGUUAGUUAGUUAGGUAGUUAGUUAGAAAGUGUGUUUGGAUUCUGUUGAACCAAUUAAAUUAACUGCCAAACUAACUCAUGUUUUGUUUGUUACUGAUAUAUUGAAACUGAUUGUGAAUCACCUACUCUAUGGGGCUUUUCUUGACUAUGAAUUAUAUUAUGUUUACAACAACAAAAAAAUCAAUUAGAAUUAAUUAAAAAAACUGGCUAUAAAUCCUCAUGAACAAUUUUCACACAAUUAUAAUUUAUAAUUCCACAAUGAUAAAGCAAAUUAAACUGGUAGUAUUAAACAAUGUUGAACCAUAGUACUUUCUAUUCAAUGUAGAAUACUGCACAGGCUCUCUACGACAAUUACUUACAAUGGUACACUUAACAUCUUGAUAAACAUGACAAAAAACCAACACAAAAGCCACUGUGAAUCCAACUACAGCUGCAGCUAUUCCCACAAAAUCAUGCUUGAAACCAUAGUAACUUUCCCAAAAGUCUUCUACUGAAACACUUCUCCCAUUGAAUUCAUUAGCAAGAGAAGAAUACAUUCCUGCAGAAUUUUCCUUAUAGAAGACCACUCUCUCAAUACCCACUACUCCUUGAAGCAAUGCAGUAAAACAUGCUCCCAAAAAAGAGGGAGGCAACAGUUGUGACGAGAAACCUUAAUCCCUUGUAUUGUAGAUUCCGCUAGUAAGACCAAUGUUGUUUCCAUAAGAAAGCUUUGCAUUGAGUACUUUGAAGGAAAAUGAAUGUCCACAGAACCAGGAGCUGGACUGCUCAGUUCUGCAGUAAGAGCUUUGUUUCUCCUAAACCAGAUGUCACAAGAAUCAUUUCACACAAGAUAUAUUUAGGAGAAUUAUACAUGGCACCCUCCAAAUUAUACAUGUCACCUCCACAUUUUAGGUUAUUUUUAAAAUGCCCCUGACACUAUUUACUCAUAAUUUUUACCAUUUUUUAAAAAACAUUACUUUGGCGAAAAUCAUCAAAAAGCAAAUUUCCGGCACCCUUUUUUGGCCGAUACCGAAAAUUCUUAGUUUUUUUUGUGCAAAAUUUCGGUAUCCGUAACCGGAAAUAUUUCCGGUGCGAUUUAUAAAACAUUACGCCGUCUCGGCAAUUUCAUAAAUUUUCGGUAAAAAAUCAAUACCCAAAAUU